rnacentral:rRNA from 1 species
AACGAACGCUGGCGGCAUGCCUAACACACGCAAGUCGAACGAGACCUUCGGGUCUAGUGGCGCACGGGUGCGUAACGCGUGGGAACCUGCCCUUAGGUUCGGAAUAACUCCCCGAAAGGGGUGCUAAUACCGGAUAAUGUCUUCGGACCAAAGAUUUAUCGCCUUUGGAUGGGCCCGCGUUGGAUUAGCUAGUUGGUAGGGUAAAAGCCUACCAAGGCGACGAUCCAUAGCUGGUCUGAGAGGAUGAUCAGCCACACUGGGACUGAGACACGGCCCAGACUCCUACGGGAGGCAGCAGUGGGGAAUAUUGGACAAUGGGCGAAAGCCUGAUCCAGCAAUGCCGCGUGAGUGAUGAAGGCCUUAGGGUUGUAAAGCUCUUUUACCCGGGAUGAUAAUGACAGUACCGGGAGAAUAAGCUCCGGCUAACUCCGU